CAUGGAGUAGCUCAGGCGGUAGAGCGCCCGCAUGCACGGCGGGGGCCGUGGGUUCGAUUCCCACCUCCAUGACCA
rnacentral:tRNA from 1 species